rnacentral:misc_RNA from 1 species
CGCACAUUGCGCCCUCUGGCAUUCCGGAGGGCAUACCUGUUCGAGCGUCAUUACAACCCUCAAAGAUGACUCUUUGGCGUUGGGCGAUGCCUGGAGGCAUGCCCCAAAAUCAGCGAUGGCGGCCUUCGGCCACGGGCGCACAAACGUGUCCAGCGGCCGGACGUCGUCAGCCGAUUGACGAAUCUCCAAAUGUUGACCUCGGAUCAGGUAGGGAUACCCGCUGAACUUAA